rnacentral:lncRNA from 1 species
GAAAGUUGAAAUCUGAAAAUUCCAGAAAAAUCGCAAUCUGUCCAUUUUGUGUUCUUGGCCGAAAGUUGUGUUCUUGUUGUGUAUUGGCCAAUAUUUUUACUUGUUUUUGUUGUCUCUAAGUGUUAGUUUUGUUCUUCACUAACACGUUGAGUCUAUAUCUUAGAUUUGAGCUUUAAAUGUUGAAGUUGUUAAUGUGAACAAAGUAUGGCCGAUUGUUGUUG